rnacentral:rRNA from 1 species
CACGUAGGGGGCAAGCGUUGUCCGGAUUUAUUGGGCGUAAAGAGCUCGUAGGUGGUUCGGUAAGUCGGGUGUGAAAUCCCCAGGCUUAACCUGGGAACUGCAUUCGAGACUGCAUUGCUAGAGUAUGGGAGAGGGAAGUGGAAUUUCCGGUGUAGCGGUGAAAUGCGUAGAUAUCGGAAGGAACAUCAGUGGCGAAAGCGACUUCCUGGACCAAUACUGACGCUCAUGUGCGAAAGCGUGGGGAGCAAACAGG